GUGGGGAAUCUUGCGCAAUGGGCGAAAGCCUGACGCAGCCAUGCCGCGUGAAUGAUGAAGGUCUUAGGAUUGUAAAAUUCUUUCACCGGGGACGAUAAUGACGGUACCCGGAGAAGAAGCUCCGGCUAACUUCGUGCCAGCAGCCGCGGUAAUACGAAGGGGGCUAGCGUUGCUCGGAAUUACUGGGCGUAAAGGGCGCGUAGGCGGACAGCUUAGUCAGAGGUGAAAGCCCAGGGGUCAACCUUGGAAUUGCCUUUGAUACUGGCUGUCUUGAGUUUGGGAGAGGUGAGUGGAACUCCGAGUGUAGAGGUGAAAUUCGUAGAUAUUCGGAAGAACACCAGUGGCGAAGGCGACUCACUGGCCCAAUACUGACGCUGAGGCGCGAAAGCGUGGGGAGCAAACAGGAUUAGAAACCCGGGUAGUCC
rnacentral:rRNA from 1 species